GUGAAUCAUCGAAUCUUUGAACGCAAAUUGCACUCCCUGGUAUUCCGGGGAGUAUGCCUGUUUGAGGGUCGUUAGAAUAAAAAAUCGAAGCGUUGCUCUUUUUUUUAAGGGUUAGCGUGUCGGGAUGGAGCCGUCUUUCAAAUGUUAAUUUGUGUUGAAGUUGCUUAUAAUUCAUCCAGCCGGUACGAUUAAAGCGUAUUUAAUACCAAUGUUGAUCAGUAACUU
rnacentral:misc_RNA from 1 species